GAAGGCGCAGAGCGGGGCCCGCAGCGGCUGAGGGGCACCGCCAGCCCUGGGGGUCACUCACCCGGGGCCCCAGGGCCCUCGCCGCCGGCCCUCCGGCCUCCCGCCGGCCCCAGGCUGUUGACGAUGUAGUGCGAGACGCGGGAGCUCUCGGACACCGAGAGCACGAAGUCGCCGGGGAUGGAGCCCGAGUCGCGCACGAUGCAUUCCCUUCUCUGUGCUUUCGUAGGGCGUUGGUAUCGGUGAGACCUGUCUGCGAGUGCUCAGGGGUCCCUCUAGGCACCCGAGAGUGGCAGCUACCCCUUUACAGGGCCGCUUUGUUCAUACCCGAGUCCUUUGUCCCGGCGAUGGUCGGUCCGGCGCAGCUGCAGCUGUGCCACGGCAGCACCACUCCUCCUGAGAAGAAACCGUUUCUAAUAUCCAACCUGAACCUCCCCUGGUGCAACUUAAGGCCAUUACCUCUUGUCCUGAGGUAACCUAUCGCAGGAGUGUGCUGGAGGGCUUUGGUUUGAGGAGCAGCAAAACUGAGGAGUGGAGCGGGAUGGGAUGGGUCACAUAACCAGGGAAAUAUUAGGAAUUUGUAAUAGAAUUAGCUGGAUGUGAGCCAUCAGUUGUUAUGCCAUGGAUGCUGAUAAAGAAUAGAAGUGGAAGACUCUUGCUGAACUGUGGAAAUGGUUUGACAUGACUUUAUCCAGCAGUCGAGAAGGAAAGAUCCCUUUGUUUACUUCCUCACAGUUCCUUUACUUGAUUUAUGCUAUUUUAUUUCCUACAUCUCUCAAGGUUUUUCCCAGAUAGUUUUCAAGAGAAGUCACACUUAAAAAAAAAUAUUUUAAUAUAAUUACUUUUUGAGCUACUUUGUAACAAUGCUUAUCAUUUUCACUCCUUGCGCAGAGGAAUUGAUGACACUUUCAGUUUGAUUUCAGAGACUGUAGAUAAUAAUAUUCAAAUGAACCGAGACGUUAAAAUGUAGAUCUCUUUUCCCAAUUAUUUUCCUCUUCAGAAAAACAGGAGGAAAGUACUGAUGAUGAGACAGAAGAAGGCGAGGUUGAG
rnacentral:lncRNA from 1 species